rnacentral:rRNA from 1 species
UACAGAGGUCCCGAGCGUUGUUCGGAUUCACUGGGCGUAAAGGGUGCGUAGGUGGCGGGGUAAGUCGGAUGUGAAAGCUCGGAGCUCAACUCCGAAAUGGCAUUGGAAACUACCUUGCUCGAGGGUUGGAGGGGGGACUGGAAUGCUUGGUGUAGCAGUGAAAUGCGUAGAUAUCAAGCGGAACACCAGUGGCGAAGGCGAGUCCCUGGACAACUCCUGACACUGAGGCACGAAAGCUAGGGGAGCAAACAGG